rnacentral:rRNA from 1 species
AAAUUGAAGAGUUUGAUCAUGGCUCAGAUUGAACGCUGGCGGCAGGCCUAACACAUGCAAGUCGAACGGUAGCACAGAGAGCUUGCUCUCGGGUGACGAGUGGCGGACGGGUGAGUAAUGUCUGGGAAACUGCCCGAUGGAGGGGGAUAACUACUGGAAACGGUAGCUAAUACCGCAUAACGUCGCAAGACCAAAGUGGGGGACCUUCGGGCCUCACACCAUCGGAUGUGCCCAGAUGGGAUUAGCUAGUAGGUGGGGUAACGGCUCACCUAGGCGACGAUCCCUAGCUGGUCUGAGAGGAUGACCAGCCACACUGGAACUGAGACACGGUCCAGACUCCUACGGGAGGCAGCAGUGGGGAAUAUUGCACAAUGGGCGCAAGCCUGAUGCAGCCAUGCCGCGUGUAUGAAGAAGGCCUUCGGGUUGUAAAGUACUUUCAGCGAGGAGGAAGGCGUUGUGGUUAAUAACCACAGCGAUUGACGUUACUCGCAGAAGAAGCACCGGCUAACUCCGUGCCAGCAGCCGCGGUAAUACGGAGGGUGCAAGCGUUAAUCGGAAUUACUGGGCGUAAAGCGCACGCAGGCGGUUUGUUAAGUCAGAUGUGAAAUCCCCGGGCUCAACCUGGGAACUGCAUUUGAAACUGGCAAGCUUGAGUCUCGUAGAGGGGGGUAGAAUUCCAG